CACUGGCCUUUCACCUUGCUUCCUUGAGCUUAUAGCAAAGAUAUCUCUAAUGAGACAGAUAGGGGUAUUUUUUUUAUAUAUACUCGUACAUUAAGGGUUGAUAAGUAUGUAGGGGUGUAUAUAAAAAAAAAUACCACUCUUUGUUUCAUUAGAGAUAUCUUUGCCAGAAGUUCAGUGAAGCAGGGUGAAAGGUCAGUGU
rnacentral:miRNA from 1 species